rnacentral:rRNA from 1 species
ACGGCGAGUGAAGCGGCAACAGCUCAAAUUUGAAAGCUAGCCUUCGGGUUCGCAUUGUAAUUUGUAGAGGAUGAUUUGGGGAAGCCGCCUGUCUAAGUUCCUUGGAACAGGACGUCAUAGAGGGUGAGAAUCCCGUAUGUGACAGGAAAUGGCACCCUAUGUAAAUCUCCUUCGACGAGUCGAGUUGUUUGGGAAUGCAGCUCUAAAUGGGAGGUAAAUUUCUUCUAAAGCUAAAUAUUGGCGAGAGACCGAUAGCGCACAAGUAGAGUGAUCGAAAGAUGAAAAGCACUUUGGAAAGAGAGUUAAAAAGCACGUGAAAUUGUUGAAAGGGAAGCGCUUGCAAUCAGACUUGUUUAAACUGUUCGGCCGGUCUUCUGACCGGUUUACUCAGUUUGGACAGGCCAGCAUCAGUUUCGGCGGCCGGAUAAAGGCUCUGGGAAUGUGGCCUCCACUUCGGUGGAGGUGUUAUAGCCCAGGGUGUAAUACGGCCAGCCGGGACUGAGGUCCGCGCUUCGGCUAGGAUGCUGGCGUAAUGGUUGUAAGCGACCCGUC